CUAACAGUUUUACUCGUUUUCAGGUGGGUAACAUGGGUUCUCUGCUUCGAUCCACCACCGGAGGUUAUAUUCUUCUUUGAUCCACCGCCAGAGCUUUUAUUUUUCUGAGAUCCACCGCCGGAGCUCUUCCUUUGCUGCAUGCAUGGUCGUCUUCUUCACUUCAUGAGCCGCUCACCGACAAAUGCGACUUCCGAGGGUAUGAUUUGCUUCCCUUCUUACUGACUGUACAUGCAUUUUCUAAAUAUUAUGUCGAUUGUAUUUAUGUUGUUUGAGCUCGUCGUUUGUUGUU
rnacentral:lncRNA from 1 species